ensembl:snRNA U6 U6 spliceosomal RNA
GUGCUCACUUCGGCAGCACAUAUACUAAAACUGGGAUGACACAGAGAAGACUAGCAUGGCCCCUGUGCAAAGAU